rnacentral:pre_miRNA from 1 species
AGUGGGAUAGCUAGGUCAAAUGGUGGUUCCAUUCCAAGUUUUCUGAGAAAUUUUUAUACUGCUUUCCAAAGUGAUUGCACCAAUUUGCAAUCUCAACAGCCAU